GAUGAACGCUGGCGGCGUGCCUAAUACAUGCAAGUCGAGCGAACGGACGAGAAGCUUGCUUCUCUGAUGUUAGCGGCGGACGGGUGAGUAACACGUGGAUAACCUACCUAUAAGACUGGGAUAACUUCGGGAAACCGGAGCUAAUACCGGAUAAUAUUAUGAACCGCAUGGUUCAAAAGUGAAAGGCGGUCUUGCUGUCACUUAUAGAUGGAUCCGCGCUGCAUUAGCUAGUUGGUAAGGUAACGGCUUACCAAGGCAACGAUGCAUAGCCGACCUGAGAGGGUGAUCGGCCACACUGGAACUGAGACACGGUCCAGACUCCUACGGGAGGCAGCAGUAGGGAAUCUUCCGCAAUGGGCGAAAGCCUGACGGAGCAACGCCGCGUGAGUGAUGAAGGUCUUCGGAUCGUAAAACUCUGUUAUUAGGGAAGAACAUAUGUGUAAGUAACUGUGCACAUCUUGACGGUACCUAAUCAGAAAGCCACGGCUAACUACGUG
rnacentral:rRNA from 1 species